CUCCAAAAUGCCGGCGUCAUAACAUUACCACUCAUAGAUACAAACAUAUGAGUACAAACAUGUGGAUAUGUAACAUUGACAUCACCUUCCUCGUGAGCUUUAAAUUGGUCUACUCUCCACGCUUUGUUAGCCAAGCAUCAGGAACCACUUCCGGCUAAAUACGGUGAUUAAUAAUUUCAUAUUCUCAAUGUGCGCUUGGUCGCCUUUUGGCUUAAUUAUGGUAGAAAAAAAGCACUAAAUAUCAACAAAUAGAUACAGAUACAAUUAAAGUGGACAGAAUACAGAUGACGAUUUGCAUGAAAAUGUAUUGAAUAUGAGUUUAU